rnacentral:rRNA from 1 species
UACGAAGGGAGCUAGCGUUGUUCGGAAUUACUGGGCGUAAAGGGCGCGUAGGCGGUUAUCUAAGUCAGAUGUGAAAGCCUUGGGCUUAACCUAAGAAUUGCAUUUGAUACUGGAUAACUAGAGAUCGAGAGAGGAAAGUGGAAUUACGAGUGUAGAGGUGAAAUUCGUAGAUAUUCGUAAGAACACCAGUGGCGAAGGCGGCUUUCUGGCUCGAUACUGACGCUAAGGCGCGAAAGCGUGGGGAGCAAACAGG